CACAUCAGGAGAGGGUUAGGGCUGCCUGUGUCUCUCUGCGGCUCCUGCCUUCCCACACUGUUAGUGCCUGCUCUUCAGAGGCACACCUGUCAGAUCUUUUCCCUGAGGAUUAGCCUGAUACCCCCAACUCUGAUCUUCAGUACUGCAAGCAGAGACCUAAAAGAAACUUUUAAUAUAGAAAGGGAAAAUCUUAGGAAGGUGGAUUUCACUCCCCACUUGCAUGACUCAUUAAGCAAAAUCUGUCAAGGCAGGUCUGGGGACUUUGCAUUGACAUUUCUUCACCAGUAUUGGCUCCCCAAAGGUCAAAGAGUAGGUGCUUACCUGUGCAUAGCCAGAACAUUCCAAAGAGUGAACUCGCCCAGAAGUGAGAGUGGUAUGCCUCAAAGAAAAAUUCUUACUUCCUUAUUUAACUACAGGGAAAAAAAAAAUCACAGUAAGCUUAGAACAUACCCAUUUUGUUCCAGUUUCAGUAAAUCAAAUAUUCAAAUAUUCAGCCUUAGAGCAGUUUUUUCAAAACUUGGGGACUACCUGACUAAGUACAGAUAGCCAAUGGCAAAUAUUUGUCAUCUGUGUGUAUUAUUAAUAAUAAUUAAUAUUUAUUGAGUGAGUACUAUAUGCCAGUGACGGUGCUUAGCACUUUACAUGCAUUCUCUUCUUUAAUCCUCAGAAAAGUUUAUGGAAAGGCACAAUGACGCAUUCAGGGUGUGGUUUAGGGUGCGGCUGGCUUGGCACCCAAAUCCUACCAUUUAUUUUUCCUCUUCUCUGGAGUUCCCAGCCAAAAAGCAUAUUCACCAAAGAAUCAGCAGCCAUAUGGGAAAGAAGCAGAAGCAGAGGUAGAAAAGGGAAAUGGAAACCUUACCCAACAUCAAGAAGCUGUGAAAUGAUAGAGAUAUUCUUGUCCAAAAACCAAAGGGCAGAAGAUAGGAGACGUGACCAGGAAAAACUGUUACCAAGAAAUAUGUUCUCAGUGUCAGAACUCAAUGGGCAUGUAGAUUGGAUGGACCAAUGAUGGGCCAACAGGCAGACUGGUAAGUAAAUAGAUGGAUAAGAAGAGGCUAAAGGACUUUGAAAUGAAGAUUUUUAAUUUUGUAAGUAACUUUGGGUUAUGCUUUCUCUUGAUAAGCUUGGGCCAGUGUUUCACACAGCUUAUCUGUAGAAUUACUGUAAAGGAAUACACAUUUUAAAAUGUAGAUUCUGGGCCACACCUUCAGAUACUGAAUCAGCAUUUUCAGAGAGGAGACCAAGUAAUCUGCAUUUUCUAUACAUGCUUCAGGAGAACAUUCUAUAUACUAAAGUAUAAUAAGGACUUCUUUAGACAGUGUCCUGGCUAACUGUUAGAGGAACAAUCUAAAUUGAAGUGUUUCUCCAUGAGAGGGAUUUUGGUAUAUACUUGGGCAAGACAAUUUUUCAUUGUACAAUAUUGACCGAUACUUAAAUGUUUAGAAUCCCUGCCUCCAACUACUAAAUUCUACAGCAUGACCCCGUCAUUGUGACAACCAAAAUGCUCUCUGUUAUAUUUCUAAAUGGUGCCUCCAAGCUACAAAGCACUAGCUCAAACUCCCAAGUUCCCUGACAGAAUCAUGUGAAAGACUAUAAGUGUACAGAGAGUUGCCUAUGUAUGACAGCUGACUACAUCAGAGAUUGAGUUCAGACAAGUGAAAUCAUACUUCUUGAAGCUAUGAAUAUGUAUAAGUGAGGAGGUUUGAGGUAGAGUGCAAAGAAUCCUGAACCUGAAAUCAGUCUGCUUGAAUUUGAGGCCACUCGCUAGCUGUGCAAAUGAGAUAACAUUAAGUCACCAUUUCUUUUGCCUGGGUCUAUUUCCUUGUUUAUAAAAUGGAAAGAAAAAUAACUGGUUCAGUUAUCUUACAGGACUGUUGGGAGAUGAUGAAUACACUAUGUUUUAGAAGGUCUUCUGUAGCCCUGAUAGUGCAGCCAGCAAGUUUUCCCAAUGGUUGAAAUAUGGGUAACAAGUUGCUCAAAUAAAAAUAAACUACAGCUGCAACUUUAAAUGUUGUUUUUGACUCUAGCCCCUGCAACCUAAAGCCUCUUAGAAUUCCCCUACACAUAUUCAAGAGCAGAUGGUCAAUGGGAAAUUCCCAUAAGUUCCUCCAUAUAGCAUUUUUUACGCUUGACUUAGAGUUAUAUUCCGUUCUCUCACUUUCUUUUUUGCUAUCUUUUCCUGUGUCUUUUUCUUGCUUUUGUGUAUUAAAAUAUAUAUUGAGAAAUAGUAAUGUGUGCAUUUGUGCCAGAUAUCAUCUAUUUCCUCUUCCAUACUCACACACCACUGGCUUUUUGUCCCAGGAGCAUAACUCCAUGGACUGUGUCAACAUGCCUUCUACUUUCCAGUUGGGUUCAGUUAGUGGUCAGCCCCAGUGAGAG
rnacentral:lncRNA from 1 species